AAUUGUAAUUUCUGCAUAGUUUCUUGUAUAUAUCUUAUAGAACAAGUCUUUUAUCAAAGAAUAUCUUUCUAGUGUUACAGUCACUCUCGUUCAGUUGUUUCCUAGGAUAAUUCAAUGGUGUUUUGGAAUAACAAUAUGCUGACAGUGGAUAUUUUAUUUUAUUUUUAUUGUAGAAGAUAUUAGUAGAUAAUAGGCUAUAUAAUGGAAGUAUGUCUUCCGGAUGCCCUUAAACUUCCAAUUCUGGUGAGGGUGGGAUCAGUUAUAGCUUCCUCCAGGGUUUUUAAUUUGAAGAAUAUGCUGUUAGUCCAAAGCAAAAAGUUUUUCACUCUCGUCCUCUUAUGGUUUUCCGUUGCUAUAAGAUGAAUCUUUUUUAUUUCUGUGUUUAUGCACUCUCUGAAUAUCGAAUGAUUUAAAUUUAAUAUAUUUGAGUUCAAAUAUGUUCUGCGAUGAAGAUUGAAGAGGACACGAUUUUAGAUCCAGUGGUGCUGGGAAGCUUUUUUCCUUUUCAGCUGGCAUGGUCGCUCUCUCUCUCUCUCUCUCUCUCUCUCUCUCUCUCUCUCUUCUCGUUUCUAUACAGCAUCAGGCUUCCAGAAAGCUUUUUAUCAUUUUCACCAUCGGUUCUGAAGCAGACAAAAAGCUUCCACGGGGUUAAGAGCAACUUUUGAAGCAACAAUGCCAGAGAAGAGGAGGGAAGGAGACUCAAAACAUAUCCUGAGUCCCAUGCAAAGGAGGAGCUGAAUCAUGUUGAUUGUUUCCAGCCUUCAUGUCUUCCAAAAGACGAGGAUUGCGCUCAACUCAUCAUGGUUAUCAUUACAGUAAUUAGUUGGUGCAAAGGGUCAUUACUGAAUAAGCACUCAAUUUAGCAAUAAUUUUGACAUUGAGGGCAAGUGGUGAGGUGUUAAUCAGGGUACGAGGAUUCCAAGAUGGUGCUCUUAUUUGCGAACAGUAAAAGUAGGGACACACAAGGCUGCAAUGGACUGAAUAAUGCCCAUGGUUGGUUUAAAGUUUCAUGGACAAACAAUGAUGGCUAAUGUCUUGUACCUCACUAUUAGCUUCAUCGCCAGAACUGUCGAGGGUGAAAUGGGAAGCUAAGUAGCUUUUGUUUAGGUUAGUAGUUCAUGCAAUAAUGGUCACUGCAAAGUUGGCAACUUUUUUCUUCUUCUUUUUUUUCUUUCAAAUAUUUAUUGUCAUAUUUCAAAAGAAAAAUAUUAAUCAUUAGGUGUUCUUUUUUGGGGGUUUGUGAGAGUCCUCGAAUGACCUUCAGCUUUUUGCUGUCUUGUUUUAAUGGGCACAGGGCAGCCUAAGCUUCCACAAAUUGGGCUUCAACCAGCA